CGAGCCGGCCGGGCGGUCGCGACGGGUCCCUCCGGGGCCCCGCCGAGGAAAGUCCGGACUCCACAGGGCAGGGCGGUGGGCAACACCCACCCGGGGCGACCCGCGGGAAAGUGCCACAGAAAACAGACCGCCGGAGCUUCGAGCGCCGGUAAGGGUGAAACGGUGGUGUAAGAGACCACCAGCGUUCGGGGUGACCCGAGCGGCUCGGCAAACCCCGCCCGGAGCAAGGCCAGACAGGAAGCGCACAGCGUCAGCUGGGGAGGGCGGCCCGCCCGAGCUUCCGGGUAGGCCGCACGAGGCCGCCGGCAACGGCGGUCCUAGAUGGAUGGCCGCCCCCGUCGCUCCGGCGGCGGGACAGAAUCCGGCUUACAGGCCGGCUCGUCCA
rnacentral:RNase_P_RNA from 1 species